AUUCCUGUGAGGAUGCCCACAGUCUUCCAGUGAAGACUAGGAGCUGGUAUCAGGCUCAUUAUAUUAUGCCCACGACACCUUGCUUAGCCACACCCCCAAGGGAAUACAGCAGUAAUAAAUAUUAAGCUAUUGGUGAAAACUCGACUUAAUUACAGUUAAUAGGGCCGGUCAAAACUUGUGCCAGCCACCGCGGUUAAACGAGAGGCCCAAAUUGAUAUUCACGGCGUAAAGGGUGGUUAAAUCAAAUAACAUUACUAGGACCGAACUUACCCUAGGCUGUUAUACGUUUACGGAGUAGUGAAGCCCAUAAACGAAAGUCGUCCUAAGAAAUUGAAUCCACGAAAGCUGGGAAACAAACUGGGAUUAGAUACCCCACUAUGCCUAGCCUUAAACCCUGAUAAUAUUUUACAUCUCUUAUCCGCCAGGGUACUACGAGCGUAAGCUUAAAACCCAAAGGACUUGGCGGUGCUUUAGACCCCCCUAGAGGAGCCUGUUCUAUAACCGAUAAUCCCCGUUAAACCUCACCCUCUUUUGCUCUUCCCGCUUGUAUACCCCCGUCGUCAGCUCACCCUGUGAAGGUUUACUAGUAAGCAGAAUUGGCCCUACUCCAGAACGUCAGGUAGAGGCGCAGCGUAUAAGAGGGGAUUAAAUGGGCUACAUUUACUAAUAUAGUAAACUACGGAAGGGGCACUGAAACCUGUGCCCCGGAAGGAGGAUUUAGUAGUAAGGAAGGAACAGAGUGCCUCCCUGAAAACGGCCCUGAAGCGCGCACACACCGCCCGUCACUCUCCCCACAUAAUAGAUAUUUUACUUAUUUUAAAAACACUACCCUAUUAGCUUAGGGGAGGCAAGUCGUAACAUGGUAAGCGUACCGGAAGGUGCUCUUGGAAAAC
rnacentral:ncRNA from 1 species